rnacentral:piRNA from 1 species
UGAGGUCCCAAGGAAACAGAAACCAC